rnacentral:rRNA from 1 species
AUUGAACGCUGGCGGCAUGCCUAAAACAUGCAAGUCGAACGGCAGCAUGAAUAGGGGUAACCUUAUUUGAUGGCGAGUGGCGGACGGGUGAGUAAUAUGUAGGAAUCUACAUAGAGGAGGGGGAUAACUUGGGGAAACCCAAGCUAAUACCACUUAAGCCCUACGGGGGAAAGAAGGGGACCGCAAGGCCUUGCGCCUUAUGAUGAGCCUACAUCGGAUUAGCUAGUUGGUGGGGUAAAGGCCUACCAAGGCGACGAUCCGUAGCUGGUCUGAGAGGAUGAUCAGCCACACUGGGACUGAGACACGGCCCAGACUCCUACGGGAGGCAGCAGUGGGGAAUAUUGGACAAUGGGCGAAAGCCUGAUCCAGCAAUGCCGCGUGUGUGAAGAAGGCCUUAGGGUUGUAAAGCACUUUCAGUAGGGAGGAAGGGUGUAACGCUAAUAUCGUUGCACAUUGACGUUACCUACAGAAGAAGCACCGGCUAACUCUGUGCCAGCCGCCGCCGUAACAC